rnacentral:rRNA from 1 species
UAUCCCUACGGGACGCAGCAGUGAGGAAUAUUGGUCAAUGGGCGCGAGCCUGAACCGGCCAAGUAGCGUGAAGGAUGACUGCCCUACGGGUUGUAAACUUCUUUUAUAAAGGAAUAAAGUGAGGCACGUGUGCCUUUUUGUAUGUACCUUAUGAAUAAGGAUCGGCUAACUCAGUGCCAGCAGCCGCGGUAAUACGGAGGAUCCGAGCGUUAUCCGGAUUUAUUGGGUUUAAAGGGAGCGUAGAUGGGUUGUUAAGUCAGUUGUGAAAGUUUGCGGCUCAACCGUAAAAUUGCAUUUGAUACUGG